rnacentral:rRNA from 1 species
UUCCUACGGGACGCAGCAGUGGGGAAUAUUGGGCAAUGGGCGCAAGCCUGACCCAGCGACGCCGCGUGGGUGAAGGAGCGUUUCGGCGCGUAAAGCCCUAUCGGCAGGGAAGAAGAUGACGGUACCUGACCAAGAAGCCCCGGCUAACUACGUGCCAGCAGCCGCGGUAAUACGUAGGGGGCAAGCGUUAUCCGGAUUUACUGGGUGUAAAGGGGGCGCAGACGGCAAUGCAAGCCAGGAGUGAAAGCCCGGGGCCCAACCCCGGGACUGCUCUUGGAACUGCAUGGCUGGAGUACAGGAGGGGG